AUGUCAAACAGAUGAAUAGGGGAGUUUGUAGGUAUGAUCAUUAUGUUCAUCCUAGACCUGGAAGAAAAUUACCAAAAGUUGAAAAUAAAUUUAUUCUGUGUGGCCGACAAUGCACACAUAAUUCAGCGAGAAGGUUUUGCAUAUUUGAUGGUUGGCAACAGUGGACAAUGCGGGA